UACGAAGGGGGCUAGCGUUGCUCGGAAUCACUGGGCGUAAAGGGUUCGUAGGUGGCCUGCUAAGUCGGACGUGAAAUCCCUCGGCUCAACCGGGGAACUGCGUCCGAUACUGGUGGGCUUGAGUGCAGGAGAGGAACGCGGAAUUCCAGGUGUAGCGGUGAAAUGCGUAGAUAUCUGGAGGAACACCGGUGGCGAAGGCGGCGUUCUGGCUCGCAACUGACGCUCAGACACGACAGCAUGGGGAGCGAACGGG
rnacentral:rRNA from 1 species